rnacentral:rRNA from 1 species
CAGCAGCAGCCACGGGAAUACGUAGGGUGCAAGCGUUAAUCGGAAUUACUGGGCGUAAAGCGUGCGCAGGCGGUUAUAUAAGACAGAUGUGAAAUCCCCGGGCUCAACCUGGGAACUGCAUUUGUGACUGUAUAGCUAGAGUACGGCAGAGGGGGAUGGAAUUCCGCGUGUAGCAGUGAAAUGCGUAGAUAUGCGGAGGAACACCGAUGGCGAAGGCAAUCCCCUGGGCCUGUACUGACGCUCAUGCACGAAAGCGUGGGGAGCAAACAGGAUUAGAUACCCCUGUAGUCCCUGUCUCUUAUAC